GGAAUCUUCCACAAUGGACGCAAGUCUGAUGGAGCAACGCCGCGUGAGUGAAGAAGGUCUUCGGAUCGUAAAACUCUGUUGUUAGAGAAGAACACGAGUGAGAGUAACUGUUCAUUCGAUGACGGUAUCUAACCAGCAAGUCGCGGCUAACUACGUGCCAG
rnacentral:rRNA from 1 species